UACGUAGGGGGCAAGCGUUGUCCGGAUUUAUUGGGCGUAAAGAGCGUGUAGGCGGCCAGGUAGGUCAGCUGUGAAAACUUGAGGCUCAACCUCGAGACGUCGGUUGAAACCAUCUGGCUAGAGUCCGGAAGAGGAGAGUGGAAUUCCCGGUGUAGCGGUGAAAUGCGCAGAUAUCAGGAGGAACACCGGUGGCGAAGGCGGGUCUCUGGGCCGAUACUGACGCUGAGGAGCGAAAGCGUGGGGAGCGAACAGG
rnacentral:rRNA from 1 species